UGGGUUUAGGUCAGGCACAAUAAUGGCUGUAGACUGAGAUGGCUUCCCCAGGACCUCCUCAGUCAUUUGUCACACAGUCCUGGUUCCCAAUGACUGUGUGGACCUAGGGGAUGAGGGAGGAGGUAGGCGGGGGCUGGUGGGCUGAGGGGCAUGGGAUGGGGCUGGCUAAUGGCCCUCUCCCUGGAGUAGAACAAACAUACCUCUUAGGAAACAGGAAGUGAGGCCGCCCAAUAUCUGGGUACCAGAAGCCUGGAUCUGACCAAAAUUCGGGAUGGUCAGUGGAGGCUAGGGUUGAGGGUGUUGUAGACACAGGACAAUGAGGCUCCAGGAGACUUCAACCACUCCCUAGGAUGCUCCACAGUUGGCCAGGCAGCCCAAGGGCACAGUCAGAGUGAAAAAAAAAAUCCUUUGACUAUAACAAGGAUGAUGGGCUGCAGUGGUGAGUGUCUUCACACCAUUACACUACCGAGCUCUACAAUAUUUUCACUUCAUAAAACUGGAACUUCACACCCGUCAAACAGUAACUCCCUACAACUGCCUCCCUCCACCCCUGGCAACAGCUGUCUAUAAACUGACUACUUUGGGACUGCA